GACAUGCCAAACUUGGAGAACACUCUAGACUCUCCAAAACCCUCACUUCAUCUCUCUCUCUCUCUCUCUGCAAUUUCCUUGAUAGAUGGGUAGCAAUCAAGCGGCAGUGUCUUUCCUAACCAACAUAGCCCGGGCGGCGAUCGGCCUCGGACUCAGCGGCGCCGUGCUCAACUCAUCCCUCUACACCGUUGACGGCGGCCAACGCGCCGUCCUCUUCGAUCGAUUCCGCGGCGUCAUCGACGAGACCGUUGGCGAAGGUACCCAUUUCCUCAUCCCAUGGCUCCAAAAGCCCUUCAUCUUCGACAUCCGAACUCGCCCCCACACCUUCUCCUCCAUCUCCGGCACCAAGGACCUCCAAAUGGUUAACCUAACCCUCCGUGUCCUCUCUCGCCCCGAGGUCUCUCAACUCCCCCGAAUCUUCCAAACCCUAGGCCUCGAAUACGACGAGAAAGUCCUUCCUUCGAUCGGCAACGAAGUCCUCAAGGCCGUCGUCGCUCAAUUCAACGCCGAUCAGCUCCUCACCGAGCGUCCCAGCGUCUCCGCAUUGGUCCGCGAGAGCUUGGUUCGUCGUGCUAAGGAUUUCAACAUCCUUCUCGAUGAUGUUGCGAUCACGCACUUGUCGUAUGGGGCUGAGUUCUCCAAGGCCGUGGAGCAGAAGCAGGUGGCGCAGCAGGAGGCGGAGAGGUCUAAAUUCGUGGUGGCCAAAGCGGAGCAAGAGAGGCGAGCGGCGAUUAUUAGGGCGGAAGGUGAGAGUGAGGCUGCGAAAUUGAUUUCGGAUGCGACUGCCGCUGCUGGAAUGGGUUUGAUCGAGCUCAGGAAGAUUGAGGCUUCGAGGGAGAUAGCGGCGACUUUGGCGAAGACUCCGAAUGUGGCCUACCUGCCUAAUGCAAACAACAUGUUGUUGGGGCUCAAUCCUUCCAUGGCUGGCCGCUGAUUUGGGCUUUUUGUUGUUGAUUCAGCUUUGGAUUAGAGCUGAUGGCUCACAUAUUACUGUUGUCUGGCAUUCAAUUGCCUUUUACUAGUAGUUGUUUGCUCUUUCACAUUAGAUCUUUGCACAUUUGCCGGAAUUACAAGUUCUUGGGGCUUUUUGUUGUUGAUUCAGCUUUGGAUUAGAGCUGAUGGCUCACAUAUUACUGUUGUCUGGCAUUCAAUUGCCUUUUACUAGUAGUUGUUUGCUCCUUCACAUUAGAUCUUUGCACAUUUGCCGGAAUUACAAGUUCUUGGGUGAGGCUUCCCUUUUGGCCAUAUUGAAAUGAAUUACUUCUCUUAGAAUGUUGGCA